rnacentral:lncRNA from 1 species
UGAGGAGCAGCAAAAGAAAUGGUUGCCGUUGGCAUAUAAGAUGCAAAUUAUUGGUUGCUAUGCACAGACUGAACUUGGUCAUGGCUCCAAUGUUCAAGGGCUUGAGACCACUGCAACUUUUGAUCCAAAGACUGACGAGUUUGUUCUUAAUAGUCCUCCACUCACUUCAAGCAAAGUGAGUAAUUUUAAUAAUGUUGCUUUUUUGUUUUCUUCUGAUUUUUUUUCUUUUGAGUGAAAUUUUAGUAUCUAUGAUAACAAGCUUGUGAUGGGAAUUGUGCUUAGUGUCAUUUUGAUCUAGAUAUUUUCAACCAUAAUGUGGUGGUUAUAUUUUUCGUUGAUUGAAAUAUCUAGUUUAGGCACUUAUUUUCCUUCCUUAUUGGUUGUGAAUAGUGGUGGCCUGGUGGUUUGGGAAAAGCUGCUACACAUACUGUUGCUUUUGCCCGUCUUAUUACUGAUGGAAAAGACCAUGGAGUAAAUGGUAACGACCAAGUGUAACAUUGUUUGGAACUUCUAUCGUGAAGUGAAUGGUCUAUUGAUUUUAAUUAUAGAACCAAUUCUCUUGUUUUAGGUUUCAUUGUCCAACUUCGGAACUUGGAUGAUCACUUACCUCUUCCAGGCAUAACAGUUGGUGAUAUCGGCAUGAAAUUUGGAAAUGGAGCAUACAACUCCAUGGACAAUGGUGUCCUGAGAUUUGAUAAUGUCCGCAUACCAAGGGAUCAAAUGUUGAUGAGGUAUCCACUUUGUAUGCAUUGUACUUGAUGAUAGAUAGGAUUGUUGUGCUUGAGUGCCCAUAUUUCUUAUUCAAAGAGGUAGAAAGGAUGGCUAUUCUCAUGUUCUUCUCAAAUGUGCCAGGGUCGCACAAGUUACAAGAGAAGGAAAAUAUGUCCAAUCCAAUGUUCCC